rnacentral:rRNA from 1 species
UACUCUUGACAUCCUGCGAAUUUGGUAGAGAUACCUUAGUGCCUUCGGGAACGCAGAGACAGGUGCUGCAUGGCUGUCGUCAGCUCGUGUUGUGAAAUGUUGGGUUAAGUCCCGUAACGAGCGCAACCCUUGUCCUUAUUUGCCAGCGCGUAAUGGCGGGAACUCUAACGAGACUGCCUACGCAAGUAGGAGGAAGGUGAGGACGACGUCAAGUCAUCAUGGCCCUUACGACCAGGGCUACACACGUGCUACAAUGGGGUAUACAAAGAGCAGCAAUACGGUGACGUGGAGCGAAUCUCAAAAAUGCCUCCCAGUUCGGAUUGUAGUCUGCAACUCGACUACAUGAAGUUGGAAUCGCUAGUAAUCGUAGAUCAGCUAUGCUACGGUGAAUACGUUCCGCGGGUCU